CCUACGGGAGGCAGCAGUGGGGAAUAUUGGGCAAUGGGCGCAAGCCUGACCCAGCAACGCCGCGGGAAGGAAGAAGGCUUUCGGGUUGUAAACUUCUUUUCUCAGGGACGAAGAAAGUGACGGUACCUGAGGAAUAAGCCACGGCUAACUACGCGCCAGCAGCCGCGGCAUUACGUAGGGAGCGAUGGUUAUCCGGAUUUAUUGGUCGAACGGGGUGCGUAGAUGGCAUAGUAAGUCUUUUGUAAAAAUGCUGGGCUCAACCCAGUAGGGCAACGGAUACUGCAAAGCUAGAGUAUGACAGAGGCAAGUGGAACUACAUGUGUAGCGGUGAAAUGCGUAGAUAUAUGUAAGAACACCAGUGGCGAAGGCGGCUUGCUGGGUCGAUACUGACAUUGAGGCACGAAAGCGUGGGGAGCAAACAGGAUUAGAUACCCCUGUAGUC
rnacentral:rRNA from 1 species